UAGCCAAGAGAUAUUUUUUUCAACAUCUACUGUAUGCCAAAUAGUGGAGACUUUAUAACCACAGCGGGUGUAUAUUGUCCUUAAGCAGCUCACCUGGAGAGGAAGAAGUGUUGAAUUAUAUUAGACAGUCACUGUAGAUUUAUUUGUCUGAACACUGAAAUGGGGGUGACUCUGGGAACACAGAGCAGAUGCGGCCCUUCACUCCGAUGAUGUGUCACUGUCUCUCUGAGACCGCCCCUGACUCCCUAAGUGGAAGAGCAAAAGGGAAGGCAAAAUCACACAGAGCUACAAGGCGGGAAAGGCAGCCCAGGCUGAGAGCAUUCCGUAUUCACACAACCAGAGGCCAGAGAGAGCAGCUAUGCUCCAGGGGUGUUUAAUGUGGCUCAUGUGCAGAACACACAGAAUUCAUGAACAGGGAGGUUGGAUGCCUAAAAUAACAGAGAAUAAAUACAUGUCACAAAAAUCUCUCCAUGUUUUCCUAUUAGCAGAUGAUAGUAGUUAACGUCUCCUUGUCACAGAGGAAAUGGGCACUGAUGACUCAGCAGAGGUGACUCAUCGAAAGAGAAGUGGCGCCACGAAAUCUUUGUCGGGCUCUUCAAACGAAAUCCACAAACGCUUCACCUUGCAACAUCAGUUUUGUUCCGUGGUUCUGAAGAAACUGAGAAAUACACAAAGGCAUCAGAAAGAGGUCCUAAUACCAGGUGCACGGCUGGCUACCCGGACCGGUGCGUGGGGACCUGAAUGAGUUUUGCACUCCUUCCUCUCUGAAGACAUCUCUUCAACAGUCUCAGCAGCUAGACAACCUCAGACCUCUCCCCUCCAGGGCAGAGCCGGCCCCCAUGGGCUCACCACACGGAAGAGGCAGGAGCAAAAGAAGGAUGUGUGCCAGCUUCAGGCCACUGAGCCCGAGAAAGGUAGCCACAGAGAGUGUGCGAGUUCGAAAAAAUAUGGCUGCAGCCUCCUCCCAUCCCUGCACACACGUGCCCCUGCACUAUGAGGUCACCCCUUCUCCCCUCAAGAAAUAGACGUUCUUUCUCAAUUCCCUCUUGAAUCUGGGCUGCCCUGUGACUCACUCUGGCCAAUGGAAAGCAGUGGAAUGACAUUAUGCAACGUCUGAGCCCAGACCGAAAGAUACCUCUGCAUUCUCUGUCUUGGAACCCAGCUGCCAAGUGAGGAAGCCUCUGCUAGCUCUCGCCAAGGAUGAAAGCCGGCGUGCCCCAAGUGUAACCUGUGAAUGACACCAUCCAGGAGCAGCUGAAACCCAACCAAGAUGCCAUCUGAUCACAAGCACAUGAGCAAACCCAGUAACACCACAGAGAACAGAGAAUAACAAUUUCGACUGAGUCCUGCUCCAAUUGCCAGCCCACCAAAUCUCAAGCAAAUAAACUUAUGCACGAACAGAGAGCACGUUCAGUAAUUACUAAUUCAGCCUCACCAAUCAGAUAAGGCUCUCUGGUAUAAGAGUAGUGUGGCUCUACUAUGGUUUUCUAUGGAAACAUGCUGGUGGGGUAAUUUUCCCACCACAAGUGAUGAUCCUGCUCCCAUCACGCAUGCUGAAGUCUUCCAGAAACACCAGGGGACUCUUUAAACACUGACCUUUACGAGGGGGUAUUGAAAAGUAGUGUAUUUC
ensembl:lncRNA